GUCCUUUUGAGUUUAAUUUAAGGUCUAACCUGCCCACUGAAAUUUUUAAUGGCCGCAGUAAUUUGACUGUGCAAAGGUAGCAUAAUAAUUAGUUUUUUAAUUAAAAGCUUGUAUGAAGGGUUGGACGAAAUAAAAUCUGUCUCUAUUUAAUUAAAUUUAGAAUUUAACUUUUAAGUUAAAAGGCUUAAAUGUUAUUAAAAGACGAGAAGACCCUAUAGAUCUUUAUAUUUUUUUUUAUAAUUUUAAUUAGGAAUUAUUAAUUUUUUAUUAAAAAAAGUAUUUUAUUGGGGUAAUAUAAAGAUUUAAAAAAUUCUUUUUUUUUAUAAACAUAUAUUUAUGAUAUUAAUGAUCCAAUUUUAUUGAUUAUAAGAUUAAGUUACCUUAGGGAUAACAGCGUAAUUUUUUUUGAGAGUUCUUAUCGAUAAAAAAGUUUGCGACCUCGAUGUUGGAUUAAAGAUUAUUUUAGGUGUAGAAGCUUGAAAAUUUUGGUCUGUUCGACCAUUAAAUCUUUACA
rnacentral:rRNA from 1 species